ensembl:lncRNA
UGUUAUUCACGUAAAGGACAUUUCUGUUUGGUUGAGUCGCCCAGUGUCCCAGGGGGAAGGUGGAUCCCUGGCAGCUGACGGUGCGCCGCUGUCAGAGAGAGACCAGAGACAGACGGAGCGAGCAGAGAAGCUGCUGCGCCUUCAGAAAAUGGCCGACAGAUUUCUAGGUUUAACGAAGAGCGUGAUUUCCAGGGGGGAAAUCACUUUGACCAGUAUGAAGAGGGCCAGUUGGAGCUGGAGCAGGCGUCCUUGGACAAGCCCAUCGAAUCGGAUAACAUCGGACACCGGCUGCUACAGAAGCAUGGAUGGAAGCUGGGACAAGGCUUGGGCAAAACGCUGCAGGCUAUUUGAUCCUGCCCAUGUUGUGCUGAUGGUAAACUUAGUGGACGCACCGACCCUGUUCCGA